CACUGAAGUUUGGUUGUAGUCAAGGUCAAUCUGGAGAGGGCUUCCAAGGAGGAAGUCAUCGUAUCCAUGAGGACAUCUUCCAACUUAAGAUAAUCGAAAGCAACCUUGGAACUUGUUCUACCGCCUAGCAAAAGCUUGGUUACUUGAAACAGGAAGUUUAUCAGUUGCGAGUGAAGAUGAAAGAGGACAGGAGAAAGGAGGAGAGAGAAGAAAACUGUCAUCUAACAGACUCGGUGAAUAAAUGAAGGAAAUACAGUAUGAUUGUUGGGUAACAUCAAGAUCCCAUUGAGGUUAAUGAUUAUAAAUUCAAAGAUACAGAAUUCUAAAACCAUUGCCAAUGUAGUCCUAUGUGAGAUGGAAGCCAUAGGCAUCUUGGUCUCAAGACUUUCUAAGUUUGGUUCAUUAAUUUCUCUUGUUUUGUUCAAGCUCAUCAAAAAUAUUUCUAUGAUUGAGUUUCUCAUUUAAGUCUCUUUCAAGGAAGAGAAUAUAGUGGGCAUAAGAACUUAUAGUAGUAUUCUGGUUUCUGUGAAAUAAACUUCUCAUCAAAAAUGAACAUGUCUGGGGGCCAGCAAGUGGUGUGGUGAU